rnacentral:rRNA from 1 species
UACGUAGGUGGCGAGCGUUGUCCGGAUUUACUGGGCGUAAAGGGAGCGUAGGCGGUUUUUUAAGUGGGGUGUGAAAUCCCUGGGCUUAACCCAGGAAUUGCAUUCCAUACUGGGAGACUAGAGUGCAGGAGAGGAAAGUGGAAUUCCAAGUGUAGCGGUGAAAUGCGUAGAGAUUUGGAGGAACACCAGUGGCGAAGGCGACUUUCUGGACUGUAACUGACGCUGAGGAGCGAAAGCGUGGGGAGCGAACAGG